rnacentral:lncRNA from 1 species
GUUUAAUUUUAGCAUGGUGACUACUGAGGCCAUGUUUUCUUAAGCAUUCAGGUGAUGAAAAUGAGGAAAUGGUGUUGCAAUAUCAAUGCCCGCGUGACCCAAAUGGCCAUGUUAUUUUAACGACAGGAGGAGUGACACAGACAACUGGAUGAGGGAGGCUGUAACUGAAAUAUCACGUGGGUGAACAAAGGGAGAAAUGUCGAUGGCAGCUGUGUUGACCCUUUACAACAUGCAGCGGAUUCUGCCAGAUCCCACCAACAAUCAUGCUUUCUACAGUAACCAAGUGCUGCAUCCAAUCAUGGCAAUGAAAAACAGUUCUCCUAACUUGUAAAUACUUUGAUUUGAAAAAAUGGAGUUUCAAAUCAUCCUUUUUAUUUCUAUGAAGAUUUUAAUCCACCUGCAGAAAAAAAAAAAGAAUGUUGAUGCUAUCUUGUCCAAAUACAAACAUGACUUUGCCCAUCUGUCUGCCUAUUUGGCAGACCGUGCAAAUGUAAAUUUUUGCAAAUUCCAUGCAGUCUAUGAACGCUUUACCAAAGAAAAGUUAAAAAUAUUAGCCACGAAGUGUCCUGCACAUUUUGUACACAUCAGUAAAAAGGGGUGGAGUUUCCUUCCCUGUGAUAUUGAUGCUUUCAAAAUGAAAGCUUUUAUUUACUUUUCAGUUUCCUCAAAGCAUGAAAAAGCACUUAAUGAGAUUUUUCACAUUCCAGAAAUGGAAGGAGAUGGCCUCCUUUGGACAUGUGCCUACACGAGGGCUGUCACUGUUGCCAGGGUAAAAAGGCA